GUUAAAACUCAAAUGAAUUGACGGGGGCCCGCACAAGCGGUGGAGCAUGUGGUUUAAUUCGAUGCAACGCGAAGAACCUUACCUACUCUUGACAUCCAGAGAACUUUCCAGAGAUGGAUUGGUGCCUUCGGGAGCUCUGAGACAGGUGCUGCAUGGCUGUCGUCAGCUCGUGUUGUGAAAUGUUGGGUUAAGUCCCGCAACGAGCGCAACCCUUAUCCUUGUUUGCCAGCGAGUA
rnacentral:rRNA from 1 species